AGGGGUGUAGCUCAGUGAUAGAGCAUCUGAUUUGCAUGCAGAAGGUAUCCUGGGUUCACUUCCAGCAUCUCCA